rnacentral:rRNA from 1 species
AAGACCUCAAAUCAGGUGGGAUUACCCGCUGAACUUAAGCAUAUCAAUAAGCGGAGGAAAAGAAACUAACAAGGAUUCCCCUAGUAACGGCGAGUGAAGAGGGAAAAGCCCAAAUUUGUAAUCUGGCUCUUUCAGAGUCCGAGUUGUAAUUUUGAGAACUGUUUUCUGUGCUGGACCAUGUUUAAGUCUGUUGAAAAGCAGCAUCAUUGAGGGUGAUAAUCCCGUUCAUGAUAUGGACUACCAGGGCUUUAUGAUACAGUUUCUAARAGUCGAGUUGUUUGGGAAUGCAGCUCAAAGUGGGUGGUAAAUUCCAUCUAAGGCUAAAUAUAGGUGAGAGACCGAUAGCAAACAAGUACCGUGAGGGAAAGAUGAAAAGAACUUUGGAAAGAGAGUUAACAGUACGUGAAAUUGCUGAGGGGGAAACGAUUGAAGUUAGCCUUGUUAUUGUCAGUUCAGCUCUUUUAGAGUGUAUUCUGAUAAUUAACGACCAACAUCAGUCUUUGAGUGUUGGAUAAGGGUUUUGGAAAUGUAGCAGUUUAGGCUGUGUUAUAGUCCAUUACUUUGAUACAAUGCUUGGGAUUGAGGAUCGCAGUAAGCCAUUUAUUUGGUAGACCAUCUUUUUGGUCUUCUUACUGAGGAUGUUGGKGAAAUAGCUUUAACCGACCCGUCUUGAAACACGGACCAAGGAGUCUAACAUGCUUGCGAGUAUUUGGGKGAUAAAACCCUGAUGCGUAAUGAAAGUAAAUGUAAAUGGGAUCUGUAAUAAGUGC